CAUUAGCGGAGGAAAAGAAACUAACAAGGAUUCCCCUAGUAACUGCGAGUGAAGCGGGAAAAGCUCAAAUUUAAAAUCUGGCGGUCUUUGGCUGUCCGAGUUGUAAUCUAGAGAAGUGUUAUCCGCGCUGGACCGUGUACAAGUCUCCUGGAAUGGAGCGUCAUAGAGGGUGAGAAUCCCGUCUUUGACACGGACUGCCAGGGCUUUGUGAUGCGCUCUCAAAGAGUCGAGUUGUUUGGGAAUGCAGCUCAAAAUGGGUGGUAAAUUCCAUCUAAAGCUAAAUAUUGGCGAGAGACCGAUAGCGAACAAGUACCGUGAGGGAAAGAUGAAAAGAACUUUGGAAAGAGAGUUAAACAGUACGUGAAAUUGCUGAAAGGGAAACGCUUGAAGUCAGUCGCGUUGGCCGGGAAUCAACCUUGCUCUUUUGCUUGGCGUACUUUCUGGUUGACGGGUCAGCAUCAAUUUUGACCGUUGGAUAAAGGCUUGGGGAAUGUGGCAUCUUCGGAUGUGUUAUAGCCCCUGGUUGCAUACAACGGUUGGGAUUGAGGAACUCAGCACGCCGCAAGGCCGGGUUUUUAACCACGUUCGUGCUUAGGAUGCUGGCAUAAUGGCUUUAAUCGACCCGUCUUGAAACACGGACCAAGGAGUCUAACAUGCCUGCGAGUGUUUGGGUGGAAAACCCGGACGCGUAAUGAAAGUGAAAGUUGAGAUCCCUGUCGCGGGGAGCAUCGACGCCCGGACCAGAAAUUUAUGGACGGUUCCGCGGUAGAGCAUGUAUGUUGGGACCCGAAAGAUGGUGAACUAUGCCUGAAUAGGGUGAAGCCAGAGGAAACUCUGGUGGAGGCUCGUAGCGAUUCUGACGUGCAAAUCGAUCGUCAAAUUUGGGUAUAGGGGCGAAAGACUAAUCGAACCA
rnacentral:rRNA from 1 species